GGUCCGUGAGCCCGCUCCCCGCCGACAACAUGCUUCCCUUGUCGCUGCUGAAGACGGCUCAGAAUCAUCCCAUGUUGGUGGAACUAAAAAAUGGGGAGACAUACAACGGGCACCUGGUGAGCUGUGAUAACUGGAUGAACAUUAACCUUCGAGAGGUGAUCUGCACAUCCAGGGACGGGGACAAGUUUUGGCGGAUGCCAGAGUGCUAUAUCCGCGGCAGCACCAUCAAGUACCUGCGCAUCCCCGACGAGAUCAUUGACAUGGUCAAGGAGGAGGUGGUGGCCAAGGGCCGCGGCCGCGGUGGCCUGCAGCAGCAGAAGCAGCAGAAGGGCCGAGGCAUGGGGGGCGCUGGGCGAGGUGUGUUUGGUGGCCGGGGCCGCAGUGGGAUCCCAGGCAGAGGUCAGCGGGAAAAGAAGCCAGGCAGGCAGGUGGGCAAACAGUGAGCCGCCCUCCGUUCUCGAGAGACUGAGCUGCCACACUGCUCGCCAAGGCUGUGUUUCUACUCUCUGGUUCACAAGUGUGUUCAGAACAAAAAGAAGCAGGUGUUGGGGAAGAGCCCCCCUCUCCGCCUGUCAUUCUGUGAUCCU